GACGAACGCUGGCGGCGUGCUUAACACAUGCAAGUCGAACGAAGUGGCGAACGGGUGAGUAACACGUGGGUGACCUGCCCUGAACUUCGGGAUAAGCCUGGGAAACUGGGUCUAAUACCGGAUAGUGUGGGAUGGGCCCGCGGCCGAUUAGCUUGUUGGUGGGGUAAUGGCCUACCAAGGCGGCGACGGGUAGCCGGCCUGAGAGGGUGACGGGCCACAUUGGGACUGAGACACGGCCCAGACUCCUACGGGAGGCAGCAGUGGGGAAUCUUGCGCAAUGGGCGCAAGCCUGAGAGAGCCAUGCCGCGUGUGUGAUGAAGGCCUUCGGUUUGUAAAGCACUUUCAGCGGGGAGGUUAAUAACCUUGUCGAUUGACGUUACCCGAAGAGAAAGCACCGGCUAACUCCGUGCCAGCAGCCGCGGUAAUUC
rnacentral:rRNA from 1 species